GACGAACGCUGGCGGCGUGCCUAAUACAUGCAAGUCGAACGCAGUGGGGACGGGUGAGUAACACGUGGGUAACCUCCCAUCAGAGGGGAUAACACUUGGAAACAGGUGCUAAACCGAUACUGAUGGAUGGACCCGCGGUGCAUUAGCUAGUUGGUGAGGUAACGGCUCACCAAGGCCACGAUGCAUAGCCGACCUGGGAGGAGGAUCGGCCACACUGGAACUGGGACACGGCCCAGAGUCCGAGGGUAGGCAGCAGUAGGGAAUCUUCGGCAAUGGACGAAAGUCUGACCGAGCGACGCCACGUGAGUGAAGGAGGUGUUCGGAGCGUGAAGCUCUGUUGUUAGAGAAGCGGUAUCUAACCAGAAAGCCACGGCUAACUACGUGCCAGCAGCCGCGGUAAUUC
rnacentral:rRNA from 1 species